rnacentral:rRNA from 1 species
UACGAGUGCCCCGAGCGUUAUCCGGAAUCAUUGGGCGUAAAGGGUGUGUAGGUGGUUGUGUUAGUCAAUUGUUAAAACCCGGGGCUUAACCCCGGAAGUGCGAUUGAAACGGCACAACUAGAGGAUGGCAGGGAUGUAUGGAACUCAUGGAGUAGGGGUGAAAUCCGUUGAUAUCAUGGGGAACACCAGAAGCGAAGGCAGUGCAUUGGGCCACUCCUGACACUGAAGCCCGAAAGCGUGGGUAGCGAAUGGG